rnacentral:rRNA from 1 species
AUGAACGCUAGCGACAGGCCUAACACAUGCAAGUCGAGGGGCAGCACAAGGAGCAAUCUGAGGUGGCGACCGGCGCACGGGUGAGUAACACGUAUGCAACCUGCCUGUAAGCGGGGAAUAACCCGUUGAAAGACGGACUAACACCGCAUAAUACUAAAUUACUGCAUGGUAAUUUAUUUAAACAUUUAUGGCUUACAGAUGGGCAUGCGCAUGAUUAGCUAGUUGGAGAGGUAACGGCUCCCCAAGGCAACGAUCAUUAGGGGUUCUGAGAGGAAGGUCCCCCACACUGGUACUGAGACACGGACCAGACUCCUACGGGAGGCAGCAGUGAGGAAUAUUGGUCAAUGGACGAGAGUCUGAACCAGCCAAGUCGCGUGCAGGAAGAAUGUCCUUAAUGGAUUGUAAACUGCUUUUGCAGGGGAAUAAAGUGCAUCACGUGUGAUGUUUUGUAUGUACUCUGCGAAUAAGGAUCGGCUAACUCCGUGCCAGCAGCGGC